AACGAACGCUGGCGGCAGGCCUAACACAUGCAAGUCGAACGCUCCGCAAGGGGAGUGGCGCACGGGUGAGUAACACGUGGGAACCUACCUUCUGGUACGGAACAACCAAGGGAAACUUUGGCUAAGACCGUAUACGACCUCCGGGUGAAAGAUUGAUCGCCGGAAGAGGGGCCCGCGUCCGAUUAGGGUAGUUGGUGAGGUAAC
rnacentral:rRNA from 1 species